CCCUUAGAUGUUCUGGGCCGCACGCGCGCUACACUGAUGCAUUCAACGAGUCUAAAACCUGCUCUGAUAGGGGUGGGUAAUCUUUUGAAUGGGCAUCGUGAUUGGGAUAGAUGAUUGCAAUUUUUCAUCUUCAACGAGGAAUGCCUAGUAAACGCAAGUCAUCAGCUUGCAUUGAUUACGUCCCUGCCCUUUGUACACACCGCCCGUCGCUCCUACCGAUUGAAUGAUCCGAUGAAUAUCAUGGAUUGAGGAUGCAAGUAGGUUCGCCUAUCUUCAUCUUCGAGAAGUGAAGUAAAUCUUAUCAUUUAGAGGAAGGAGAAGUCGUAACA
rnacentral:rRNA from 1 species